rnacentral:lncRNA from 1 species
AAUGGCUGUCCUGCGUGUGCAAUUACCAGGCUAGAGGGUACAAAUAGGUUUAAGGUCACAGAGGAAAAUUUCACAUCACAGGGUGUCUGCUUCCAAACAUGGGAACCGGUAGCUUUCCCUUUUUCAUCAAGAUACAAACCAGAAGCCUCUAGAACGCCAAGCCUACCCACCCCCACGCCCCCGCCCCAUCCUGCCCCGGUCAGGGCUAACCCGUCCCCAGGCGCGGGCCCGCCUGCGGGACCGGGGCUCGUCCCCGUGGGCCAGAGGCCCGGUGUGCCCGCAGGCUGCCGGCGGCGGCCGGCCCGGGGUGCUAGCCUAGACUUCCCCGAGGCCCUGCUGGGUGUGUGCGACGCCCUGGCGCCCAGCCCCGAGCUCGGGGAGUCACCUCGCGGAUACCCCGGGGGGCUGAGAGCAAGAGAAGCCACAGCAGAGAGCUCCAGGGAGGGCUCAGGACUGCGAGCACUUCCCCCUGGCGGACGCCGGCCCUCAUCCUCCUCCGCCCCGACCUCUUCCUCGGGUCCCCGGCGGUCCCUCGAGUCCCCGCAGCCCUCCCCCCGCCUCCGACUCUUCCCGGCCGAGGGGGUCACCCAAGCGCCCCGGGGGCCCCUCCUCCCUCCCGCUCCCCGCGCCGGCCCGGCCAGUCCCGGUCGCCGCCGGCCCGGGUCUCCGCCCCCCUCAGCAUCCGACUGCCUCGCAGCACCCGCCAUCAGACCCCGUCGUCUCCUCCAAGCCUCCCCGCGUCUGCGCCCGGCUGCCCGUCGCUCAGCCCUGCCGCCGCGUCCCCCCACCUGCCGCGGGCCUCCGCGUCCACCCGCCCGCCCUUCCCGGGGCAGAGCCUCCACGGCGCCGGGUGCCCCGCAGAUGCCCGUCCGCACCCGCCCGCGUCGGUACGGUACGCCGCCGAGCGUGCCCCUCUGUUCUGGAGCCCGGCCCUCCGUCCGGUCAGGCCCCUGCUCACCAUCCCUCCCCCGGCCUGAGAGUCGGCGGCCCGGCUCCCCGCCCGCACCCGGGCAACUCUUCCCUCUCGCACUUUCUCUACUUUGA